UAGAGCGCUACAUUGACAUUGUAGAGGUCACAGGUUCGAAUCCUGUAUCGUCCA
rnacentral:tRNA from 1 species